AGCGAACGCUGGCGGCAGGCCUAACACAUGCAAGUCGAACGAACCUUUCGGGGUUAGUGGCGGACGGGUGAGUAACACGUGGGAACGUGCCUUUAAGUUCGGAAUAACUCAGGGAAACUUGUGCUAAUACCGAAUGUGCCCUUCGGGGGAAAGAUUUAUCGCCUUUAGAGCGGCCCGCGUCUGAUUAGCUAGUUGGUUGAGGUAAUGGCUCACCAAGGCGACGAUCAGUAGCUGGUCUGAGAGGAUGAUCAGCCACAUUGGGACUGAGACACGGCCCAAACUCCUACGGGAGGUAGCAGUGGGGAAUCUUGCGCAAUGGGCGAAAGCCUGACGCAGCCAUGCCGCGUGAAUGAUGAAGGUCUUAGGAUUGUAAAAUUCUUUCACCGGGGACGAUAAUGACGGUACCCGGAGAAGAAGCCCCGGCUAACUUCGUG
rnacentral:rRNA from 1 species